rnacentral:lncRNA from 10 species
GUUCUAGCGCUCUACGGUAUCUAUUGAACAUAAUACAAUUAUCUUCUCUCCUGCAUCUAGAAUGGUAUUAGCCAUGCACUCUCCUUGGGGGAAUUGAGAAAAUACUUACUAAAAUUAGCUCCUAAAGGGACUGUUUAUCUCUCUGAACUGAUUGAGAAAGGCUGCAAGCAUGAUAACUGUGGUGCAUGCAACUGAGGAGACCCUUAAGGGAGUGUAAAAAUUGUAGCAAAAAAUGCCUAGAUACCCUAUCCCAGGAAGGUGAAGACAGGGAAGGUGUUCUCUGGCAGGUAUGAGGUGAAAAGGCAGGAGUCCUGGCUCCUGGAGAACAUGAUUGUGACAGUCCUAUAGGUGUCUUGACACUGUGGAGAGUAGCAGCUUCUGAUAGAGGAAAAACAGAAACAGAAAAUGGAAAUUCUUUUGGCACCUCUGUUUAUGCUUGUCCUACUUGUUGUUUGAAUGCCUUAUAAAUAUAUGAAAAUAUACUGAACCCAAAAUUGUGACAUGCUGACCUGAUGUCCUGCAUCCUUUAAAUAGAAGUACAUAGAUCAUGGUCAGGAUUACAACGUGGAGAGGUGAGUAUGAUCAGACAGGUGGCCCAAGUUCAUUAACUGUCUACCUCCAACAUUUCCUUAGCUCCAGAUACUCAAUUUGACCAUCCAUAAAAAGAGAUGGUACUAUUUACCUUUUAAGGUUGUGGGGAGAUUCUAAUGAGAUAGAAGAGAGAGCCUAAGACAAUAUCUGGUAUAUAAUAAGUGCUCACAAAAUCACAGGGAUUAUUACUUCUCUUGGUGUUAAUUGCUUCAUAAUAAGACAGGCAUACGCAUUCUCUUAAGAAAUGAAAAAAUAAGAAACUAAAAUUGUUUUAUCCUGUCCCCCUUUCCAGCCUUGGGAGGACUACUCAGAUGAUAGGAACCAGUGGUUGAAAAAGAAAGAGAAACAAGAUGAAAGGAUUCGUGACUUUUCUGGGAAGUAUAAAAAGCUAUUUUGUGCCUCUUCUUUAUUUAGUUGCCAAUAGAUUGUUUUAUUUAUCUAUCUUGUUGUGUGAUAAAAUGCGAUAUGGGAGUAAUUGUUUUUCUUGUGUGUGCAUGCAUGUACGUAUUUCUAUUUUGAUGAAGUGCUGACCCUGCUGAUUCAGAAUACCUUUAAGUUUUACAAAGAUUUUGUUUUCUCCUGGCUUCCUCUUGCAUACACAAAGGCAGUAAUAGAGUGUCAUUUAAAUAAUAUGCCUUGGUUAGAACACAGCAAACUAGUUAAGAGAAACAUUUUAGAGGUUGACCUAAAAUACAUUAACUUUGAAAUAAAUAUACAUCUGGUAUAAAGAAUGAAUUUUACCAAAUAUGCAUAUCAGUUAUACCAACAGAUACCAUUUUGGGAAGAUACGUAUUCUGGUUUUAAAAAUAUUUUAGUUUGAGUUCAGUUGUAUUAUAGCUUACAUAAUACUAAUUAGAUGCUGGCUCAGAACUAUGUGUUAGUCAAAAAUUUUGGCUAGGUUCUCAUGAAAUAUCUGAAAGGCUAAAGAACAAUGUAAUUAUGCAUACAUUUAAAAUUUUGAAAGAAACAUCCCAUGUGCUACCUGACAGUGAAAUUGUCCCUGAUGAUAAGGAGAAAGGAUAAGAAGAUGCUGGGGACUGCCCGGUUCAGAGUGGACAUACUCAGGCCUAAUUCCUUAAAUAUUCAACUGAACUAGAUGAUGCUCUAUGAUCUAUAAGCUCUCUGUGCCUUGGUUUCUAAUAGAACAAAAUGUAGGGAGCAUCAAUCUCAUAAAUAUUUCUUUUCUUUCUUCUUUUUUUUUUAUAAACUGAAUGGAGAUUCCUGUGCAGUAGACUAUAUCAUAAAUGCUGGCAUUAGAAGAUUAGAAAAACUCCUGUCUUAUAAACUAUUUUAUAUUGGGUAUUUACUAUUUAUAGCUAACGGAUUUCUAAAUAUAUGAUUUGACCUGCUACAUUUAAACUAAGUAAUAAAAUACGUGUCAAAUAAUCCAAGUUAAUAUCCAAAGUCAUGACAUUAUCAAAGUUACAGUUUUUUCUUAAUCUGUCAAGAAUUUCAGUGCUAAAUUGACCUUAAUUUUUUAAAAAAAUAAUAUUUAGGUAACUUUCUGAUUACUCAAAAUAGUUCAGAACUGUAACUCAUGCUCCUGUGUGUGUGUGAUUUUUCUGCCUGUGCACUCUAUAACUGUGACUUGCUCAAGGGUGCUAAGAAGAGAGAAGCUGAUGUGGCUGAUGUUGGAAGGUGAUGAAUUCAUCCAUGGUAAAAGAAAUAUCCCUUAAGGCAGGGGUCUCCAACCCCUGGACCAUGGACAGAUCAGUGGCAGCAUCAGAUUCUCACAGGAGCAUGAACCCCACGGUGAACUCCACAUGCAAGGGAUGUAGUUGCGUGCUCCCUAUGAGAACCUAAUGCUUGAUGAUCCGAGGUAGAACAGUUUCAUCCCAAAACCAUUCCCCUGCCUCCGUAGAAAUAUUGUCUUCCACGAAACUAGGCCCUGGUGCCAAAAAGGUUGGGGCCUGCUGCCUUAGGGCAUGUCCUGUUACCAGCUUCCAGUUGCCCUUGAAGUGGUCUUCAUUAUCCUGGCUUUCUCUCCUCAGCCUCUUCUUCCUGCUGGACUUCCUACGGGCCUAUCCCUCACUGGCUCUGGGUCCUGGGCCUCUACCCAGGCCUGAGUCCAUGUGCUCAGAAAAGGUGUGGUUUCAUCCUUCUGGAGUACUGGUGUUCAUGUGACUGUCCUUUGAAAGAACAGGGCAAGAGUCAUCUGUUUUCUAUUAAACUUUAAUGACAUUUGAUACACACAAGACACUGAGAGAGGGGCAGAGAAAACUGGAUGUGCAGAUAAAAUGGAGACCAAAGUAGUACAUCAGGAGAGAUGUGAAGAUAUCCCAGCCUGCCAAUAUUGAGUGAAAGCACUUUGGAAAGUAGUAACUUGGAUAUCAGAAUAAAUAAAUAUUAUGGAUUCUCCCCUGCAAGUUUUACCCAGUAUCCCUGAAAGAAAAAGCUUCCUCUCACCUGUUUUGACUGUACGUGUGGCUGUGCUCUCUGGCUUCAGAAUUGCUUCUAUAGGAAGAAAUUAAUCAUCGAUUAUUCUACUAAAAUAGAUGUAACAUUCACUGUGAUCCGUUAUGUGAGCAACAAUGUGGAGUACUGGUAUAGAGUUUCGGGAGACCUGGGUGUUAAUUCUAGCUUAGUCACAUGCUACAUGUGUGAACUUGGGCAAGUUACUUGAUCCUGAAGCCUCACUUUUCUCCUUUGAAAAUGGGAAUAAUACUACCACCUACCUCCUGGAAUUGUAGUGGUGAAGAUUAAAUCAGGUAAUGUGCCAAGCACUCAGACAGCACUCAAUAAAUGUUAGUUAUUCUCCUUCAUGGUGAAGAGGGUAAGACUGGAUAAUUACAAUCAAAGUAAUUCAAGGGGCACGCAUUGCUGAAUGGGAAUGUCUUCACACUUUAUGAACAAUGAAUUUAUAUACAUAAGUAGAGACAUGGCCAAGGUUAAAGGUGAACAAAACUGACCUCUACCUUCCCCUUGUAUCAUACAACCCCCUGCCCCCCAUUUCUUUCCUGCCAGUUUGAAUCUCAGUGGUCUCAAUUUGCUUUCCUCCAAAAUAGUUCAAAACAAACAAAACAAAAAUAGAAUAAAGAUGGAUUGAGAAAAAGAGACGAACUUUGGCCCCAAUCCCUUGGUGAUGCCAGGUCCAAUAUAAUUACAUUCUACAAAUUCAAUGUAGUUUUUACCCUUUAAUUUAAAAUAAAGUUAUUAUAUGAAGACAUGUCUAUUUAUACUGAAAUGUUUAUAGCCAGU